GCAAGUCGAACGAGAUGCGGUUUUCGGAUCGUUAUCUAGUGGCGGACGGGUGCGUAACACGUGGGAAUCUACCUUAUAGUGGGGGCUAACUUCUGGAAACGGGAGCUAAUACAGCAUACGCCCUUCGGGGGAAAGAUUUAUCGGUAUAAUAGGAGCCCGCGGUGGAUUAGGUAGUUGGUGAGGUAAAGGCUCACCAAGCCGAUGAUCCAUAGCUGGUUUGAGAGGAAGAUC
rnacentral:rRNA from 1 species